rnacentral:rRNA from 1 species
GAUGAACGCUGGCGGCGUGCCUAACACAUGCAAGUCGAGCGAUUCUCUUCGGAGAAGAGCGGCGGACGGGUGAGUAACGCGUGGGUAACCUGCCCUGUACACACGGAUAACAUACCGAAAGGUAUGCUAAUACGAGAUGAUAUAUAAAAGUUGCAUGACUUUUAUAUCAAAGCUUUUGCGGUACAGGAUGGACCCGCGUCUGAUUAGCUAGUUGGUAAGGUAAUGGCUUACCAAGGCGACGAUCAGUAGCCGACCUGAGAGGGUGAUCGGCCACACUGGAACUGAGACACGGUCCAGACUCCUACGGGUGGCAG